rnacentral:tRNA from 1 species
CCUCUGUUGGCUUAGUGGAGCAUGUGACUCUUGAUCUCAGGGUUGUGGGUUUGAGUCCCAUACUGGGUG